rnacentral:rRNA from 1 species
UACGUAGGGUGCAAGCGUUGUCCGGAAUUAUUGGGCGUAAAGAGCUCGUAGGCGGUCUGUCGCGUCUGCUGUGAAAACUCGGGGCUUAACCCCGGGCCUGCAGUGGGUACGGGCAGACUAGAGUGCGGUAGGGGAGACUGGAAUUCCUGGUGUAGCGGUGAAAUGCGCAGAUAUCAGGAGGAACACCGGUGGCGAAGGCGGCAUCCUGGACCAAUUCUGACGCUGAGGAGCGAAAGCCAGGGGAGCAAACGGG